UACGGAGGGUGCGAGCGUUGUCCGGAUUCAUUGGGCGUAAAGGGUGCGUAGGCGGCGCGGUAAGUCGGGUGUGAAAUCUUGGAGCUUAACUCCGAAACUGCAUUCGAUACUGCCGUGCUUGAGGACUGGAGAGGAGACUGGAAUUCUCGGUGUAGCGGUGAAAUGCGUAGAUAUCGAGAGGAACACCUGCCGGCGAAGGCGGGUUGCUGGGCUGACACUGACGCUGAUGCGCGAAAGCCAGGGGAG
rnacentral:rRNA from 1 species